rnacentral:tRNA from 2 species
ACCCUCGUAGGUAAACGGAUAUACCACAGCUCUCCUAAAGCUGGAUUUCCAGUUCGAUUCUGGACGAGGGUGCCA